rnacentral:rRNA from 1 species
GGGCGUAAGCGCGCGCAGGCGGUUUCUUAAGUCUGAUGUGAAAGCCCCCGGCUCAACCGGGGAGGGUCAUUGGAAACUGGGGAACUUGAGUGCAGAAGAGGAGAGUGGAAUUCCACGUGUAGCGGUGAAAUGCGUAGAGAUGUGGAGGAACACCAGUGGCGAAGGCGACUCUCUGGUCUGUAACUGACGCUGAGGCGCGAAAGCGUGGGGAGCGAACAGGAUUAGAUACCCUGGUAGUCCACGCCGUAAACGAUGAGUGCUAAGUGUUAGAGGGUUUCCGCCCUUUAGUGCUGCAGCUAACGCAUUAAGCACUCCGCCUGGGGAGUACGGUCGCAAGACUGAAACUCAAAGGAAUUGACGGGGGCCCGCACAAGCGGUGGAGCAUGUGGUUUAAUUCGAAGCAACGCGAAGAACCUUACCAGGUCUUGACAUCCUCUGACAACCCUAGAGAUAGGGCUUCUCCUUCGGGAGCAGAGUGACAGGUGGUGCAUGGUUGUCGUCAGCUCGUGUCGUGAGAUGUUGGGUUAAGUCCCGCAACGAGCGCAACCCUUGAUCUUAGUUGCCAUCAUUCAGUUGGGCACUCUAAGGUGACUGCCGGUGACAAACCGGAGGAAGGUGGGGAUGACGUCAAAUCAUCAUGCCCCUUAUGACCUGGGCUACACACGUGCUACAAU